AUGUUGGCCGGGCGACGGUUGUCCCGGUUUAAGCGUGUAGGCUGGUUUUCCAGGCAAAUCCGGAAAACUAAGGCUGAGGCGUGAUGACGAGGCACUACGGUGCUGAAGCAACAAAUGCCCUGCUUCCAGGAAAAGCCUCUAAGCAUCAGGUAACAUCAAAUCGUACCCCAAACCGACACAGGUGGUCAGGUAGAGAAUACCAAGGCGCUUGAGAGAACUCGGGUGAAGGAACUAGGCAAAAUGGUGCCGUAACUUCGGGAGAAGGCACGCUGAUAUGUAGGUGAAGUCCCUCGCGGAUGGAGCUGAAAUCAGUCGAAGAUACCAGCUGGCUGCAACUGUUUAUUAAAAACACAGCACUGUGCAAACACGAAAGUGGACGUAUACGGUGUGACGCCUGCCCGGUGCCGGAAGGUUAAUUGAUGGGGUCAGCGCAAGCGAAGCUCUUGAUCGAAGCCCCGGUAAACGGCGGCCGUAACUAUAACGGUCCUAAGGUAGCGAAAUUCCUUGUCGGGUAAGUUCCGACCUGCACGAAUGGCGUAAUGAUGGCCAGGCUGUCUCCACCCGAGACUCAGUGAAAUUGAACUCGCUGUGAAGAUGCAGUGUACCCGCGGCAAGACGGAAAGACCCCGUGAACCUUUACUAUAGCUUGACACUGAACAUUGAGCCUUGAUGUGUAGGAUAGGUGGGAGGCUUUGAAGUGUGGACGCCAGUCUGCAUGGAGCCGACCUUGAAAUACCACCCUUUAAUGUUUGAUGUUCUAACGUUGACCCGUAAUCCGGGUUGCGGACAGUGUCUGGUGGGUAGUUUGACUGGGGCGGUCUCCUCCUAAAGAGUAACGGAGGAGCACGAAGGUUGGCUAAUCCUGGUCGGACAUCAGGAGGUUAGUGCAAUGGCAUAAGCCAGCUUGACUGCGAGCGUGACGGCGCGAGCAGGUGCGAAAGCAGGUCAUAGUGAUCCGGUGGUUCUGAAUGGAAGGGCCAUCGCUCAACGGAUAAAAGGUACUCCGGGGAUAACAGGCUGAUACCGCCCAAGAGUUCAUAUCGACGGCGGUGUUUGGCACCUCGAUGUCGGCUCAUCACAUCCUGGGGCUGAAGUAGGUCCCAAGGGUAUGGCUGUUCGCCAUUUAAAGUGGUACGCGAGCUGGGUUUAGAACGUCGUGAGACAGUUCGGUCCCUAUCUGCCGUGGGCGCUGGAGAACUGAGGGGGGCUGCUCCUAGUACGAGAGGACCGGAGUGGACGCAUCACUGGUGUUCGGGUUGUCAUGCCAAUGGCACUGCCCGGUAGCUAAAUGCGGAAGAGAUAAGUGCUGAAAGCAUCUAAGCACGAAACUUGCCCCGAGAUGAGUUCUCCCUGACUCCUUGAGAGUCCUGAAGGAACGUU
rnacentral:rRNA from 1 species